ACUGUUUACCAAAAACAUAGCCCUCGGCUAAUAUGAAAAUAGAUGUAUAGAGGGUGAUGCCUGCCCAAUGGUUGUAUCUAAAAGCGGUUGAUAAAAGUCGACCUCGUAAGGACAAUUGAAUGGCCGCGGUAACACUGACCGUGAUAAUGUAGCGUAAUCAAUAGCCAAUUAAUUGUUGGCCAGUAUGAAUGGCGCCACGAAGGCCCCACUGUCUUAAGGAAAUUCCCAGUGAAAUUGAAUUCGUAGUGAAGAUGCUACGUCCAAUUUGUUAGACGAAAAGACCCCGUUGAGCUUUACUGGAGCACUUAUAUGGCCCCGGCCUUCCCAUGCCUGGGAACCGGCCGAAUUUAAAUGGGCGGCUUAGAUUAUGUGGCAGCCCCCCGCUGGGGCAAAUGAAACACCACUCCCCCAUGUCAAAGGGGCUAA
rnacentral:rRNA from 1 species